rnacentral:rRNA from 1 species
UACGAGGGGUGCAAACGUUAUUCGGAAUCAUUGGGCGUAAAGGGUGCGUAGGCGGCGCGGUAAGUCGGGUGUGAAAUCUUGGAGCUUAACUCCGAAACUGCAUUCGAUACUGCCGUGCUUGAGGACUGGAGAGGAGACUGGAAUUUACGGUGUAGCGGUGAAAUGCGUAGAUAUCGUAAGGAAGACCAGUGGCGAAGGCGGGUCUCUGGACAGUUCCUGACGCUGAGGCACGAAGGCCAGGGGAGCAAACGGG